UAGGGAAUCUUCCGCAAUGGGCGAAAGCCUGACGGAGCAACGCCGCGUGAGUGAAGAAGGUUUUCGGAUCGUAAAGCUCUGUUGUUAAGGAAGAACGAGUGUGAGAAUGGAAAGUUCAUACUGUGACGGUACUUAACCAGAAAGGGACGGCUAACUACGUGCCAGCAGCCGCGGUAAUACGUAGGUCCCGAGCGUUGUCCGGAUUUAUUGGGCGUAAAGCGAGCGCAGGCGGUUAGAAAAGUCUGAAGUGAAAGGCAGUGGCUCAACCAUUGUAGGCUUUGGAAACUGUUUAACUUGAGUGCAGAAGGGGAGAGUGGAAUUCCAUGUGUAGCGGUGAAAUGCGUAGAUAUAUGGAGGAACACCGGUGGCGAAAGCGGCUCUCUGGUCUGUAACUGACGCUGAGGCUCGAAAGCGUGGGGAGCGAACAGG
rnacentral:rRNA from 1 species